rnacentral:rRNA from 1 species
CCUACGGGAGGCAGCAGUGAGGAAUAUUGGUCAAUGGACGAGAGUCUGAACCAGCCAAGCAGCGUGAAGGAUGACUGCCCUAUGGGUUGUAAACUUCUUUUAUAAAGGAAUAAAACGAGGCACGUGUGCCUUUUUGCAUGUACUUUAUGAAUAAGGAUCGGCUAACUCCGUGCCAGCAGCCGCGGUAAUACGGAGGAUCCGAGCGUUAUCCGGAUUUAUUGGGUUUAAAGGGAGCGUAGAUGGGUUGGUAAGUCAGUUGUGAAAGUUUGCGGCUCAAACCUAAAAUCGCAAUUGAUACUGGCAGUCUUGAGUACAGUUGAGGUAGGCGGAAUUCGAGGUGUAGCGGUGAAAUGCUUAGAUAUAACGAAGAACACCGAUUGCGAAGGCAGCUUACUAAACUGUGACUGACAUUGAUGCUCGAAAGUGUGGGUAGCAAACAGGAUUAGAUACCCGUGUAGUC